rnacentral:ribozyme from 1 species
UGGUUGCUAACGUCGGCAAGCAGGAUGCGAAGAAGCGGCUGGCGGCUGGCGCCGACCUGUCGGUGGCGGAUAACGUCGCGCAGUCUCUUGGCAUCAUGCUAGAGAGCGUCGCAUUCUAAAAAAAGAAGAGUG